AAGAAGGUGUGUUGGGUGUGGUGACACAUGUGAGGAUGGCGGCAGCAAAAAAAAAGAAGCUGGACAUAAGGAGCUUUUUUUCAAAGAAAAGUGUGACAGAACCUAAACAACUGUGCUGUGUAUCAGACAGUGAUGGAGAGAAGGGGUCACAGGGGACAGAAGCAGAUCAGCCAUGUUGUAGUUCAGGUGAAGAGGCAAGGUCACAGGA